AUUGAACGCUGGCGGCAGGCUUAACACAUGCAAGUCGAACGAGUGGCGGACGGGUGAGUAAUGCUUGGGAAUCUAGCUUAUGGAGGGGGAUAACUACGGGCAACUGUAGCUAAUACCGCUUACCAUAGGAUGAGCCCAAGUGGGAUUAGGUAGUUGGUGAGGGAAAGGCUCACCAAGCCGACGAUCUCUAGCUGGUCUGAGAGGAUGACCAGCCACACUGGGAUGGAGACACGGCCCAGACUCCUACGGGAGGCAGCAGUGGGGAAUAUUGCACAAUGGGCGCAAGCCUGAUGCAGCCAUGCCGCGUGUAUGAAGAAGGCCUUCGGGUUGUAAAGUACUGUCAGCGAGGAGGCGUUACCCGCAGAAGAAGCACCGGCUAACUCCGUGCCAGCCGCCGCGGUAAUUC
rnacentral:rRNA from 1 species